rnacentral:rRNA from 1 species
GAUGAACGCUGGCGGCGUGCCUAAUACAUGCAAGUCGAGCGAAGCGGGGACGGGUGAGUAACACGUGGAUAACCUCCUAUAAGACUGGGAUAACUUCGGGAAACCGGAGCUAUACCGGAUACUUAUAGAUUGAUCCGCGCUGCAUUAGCUGUUUGGUAAGGUAACGGCUUACAAAGGCAACGAUGCAUAGCCGACCUGCGAGGGUGAUCGGCAACACUGGAACUGGAAAACGGGCCAGACUCCUACGGAGGGCAGAGGUAGGGAAUCUUCCGAAAGGGGCGAAAGCCUGACGAGGCAACGCCGCGUGAGUGAUGAAGGUCUUGGGAUCGUAAAACUCUGUUAUUAGGGAAGCGGUACCGAAUCAGAAAGCCACGGCUAACUACGUGCCAGCAGCCGCGGUAAUAC